AUGGAGGUCAUUGGCCUGAUCAAGAGUGUGAUGGGGUGCAUGAAGACGCUGGCUGACCUUAUAGAGAAAAACAUCGAGCGCAGAGACUUGCUCGCUGUUGGCCUUAUUUCCAUGAAGAAUUAUCUCCAGAUACUCAUCGACGUCGAAGGGCGCUUCAAGAGAAAGCAGCUGCAACUGGCACCAGGAAUGCAAUUGCAGCUGCAGGAGCUGGCUUUUGAUAUCGAUGACUUCAUACAAGCUCUCUGGGUUCCCGGACCAUGUCGCUCCUUCUUCCUCGCUGCGGUGGGGUUAGACUCUCGUCCUCGACUUAUUCAGCUCAUUGCCGAUUUCAAGGAUCGCAUCAAGAUUCUGAUAGAAGAGCUUCCAAAAAGCUUUGAACCGAUGCCACCACCGACCGGGGGAACUUCAACGUUGGCCAGUCCGCCGUCAUCGGCUAGAGCUCCAGUUUCUUAUGCUCGAGAGGUGGAUCUCGUGGGCAUCCAAGGACCCAAAAUGGAGAUUAAGGAGCUUCUCUCGCCACACGCUGAGCCCCAUCGAGGGAGACUAAGCGUCAUCUCCAUCGUCGGAUGUAGCGGCGCAGGAAAGACUGCCCUCGCAAGGACACUCUACGAAGACGAUGAUGUCACCAAGGAUUUUGAUUACAAGGCUUGGGUUGUGGCCUCCGACCACAUCCCUGCGGGUAUUCUAAACAAGAUCCUCGAAGAAGUUAUUCCUACAUCACUACUUGGAAGAAUCUCCCAAGCUUUGCAACGUUUCUUAAACACGAUUCUCCGAGCGGUUCCUCUAUCACCAGCCCGCUGGAGUACCUCCGAAGCUAUGCAACAUUUCCGAAAGGACAAAAGGUACCUGGUCUUUGUUGAUGACGUGCAACGCGUGACACCAUGGAAGGACAUUAGUAAUGCAUUCCGUGAAAAUGUCAUGGACAGCAGAAUAAUUGUGACCACAAUUGUUCCAUCCGUUGCCAGGGCGCGAAGCUGUGGCAGACCUGGCAGUUAUAUGUACACAGUGAAAGGUCUGGACAAAGAAAAUUCAAGAAGACUAUUCCGGGCAAAGUUUUGGCAAGAUGAUGGCUACUCAGCAGAAGGUGAAGUUGACUUGCAUGACAAUGAUGUUGAUAUCAUCACUAAAAAGUGUGAUGGCUUACCAAUGGCGCUAAUCAGUACAGCUAAAUAUUUGCGUCAGAAAGGACCAGAUCCAACAAUUAAAGAUUUUAAGCAAGUAAGCCAAGAACUUCGUGAUUGCCUGGCAUGUCGUGAGACCGCCUCUGAGGAUUUCUCAGCAUUUGCGGAAAUGAGAAGGGCGCUUGUCAAACCCUACGAGAACCUCAAACAUGGUGAGAAGGAAUGCUUACUUUAUGUAAGCACAUUUUCCCAUGGUCAUGAUGCAACCACCAAUUCCCUACUCAGAAGAUUAAUAGCUGAAGGAUUGCUUCCUAGAGAUGAUGAUGUAGCCAAAGAUCCAGAGUCGAUUGUGGGAGAUGUCCGUGAGUGCUUGAGGAAAUUGAUGGACCAUAGUAUGAUUGAGCCCGUUCCCAUUCGCAACUAUACCAACGUUGCCAAGAGGUGCCGAGUGCACAGUAUAAUGCUGGAGUUUACCAUCAAGAUAGCUGUGUCCAGAAACUUCAUGAGUCUGAUUCACAAGGACAAGGCUCUGCACAGCAGAACCGGCAAAGUUCGCCGGCUCACUGUUCAGUCCAGCCCCCUUGUACGAGGCACCACACGUCCAGAGGGAAUGGAUUUGUCUGUUCUCAGGUCCUUGGCAAUAUUCGAGAGUAGAAUUCUGGAUUUUCAGGAAUGCAAGCUGGUGAGAGUCUUGGACCUUGAAGGUUGCAUUGGGCUUACAAAGGAGGUUCUUGAUAAUAUAUGUGGGUUGCUACUUCUCAGGUUUCUCAGCCUCAGAAAUUCAGAUACCAAGGAGCUUCCCGAAAAUGUGAAGGAGCUCCAAUGUUUAGAGACGCUGGACACUCGGGGCACAGAGGUGGAAAAAUUGCCUGUGGAAGUCAUCAUGCUCCCACGGAUUGCCUACCUGUUUGGCAAGUUUGAGCUAACCAACGUGGACACCGAAAAUAGAGACAAGGUUGCCAAGUUUUUUUCAGAAAAGAGAAGUCAACUGCACACUCUUGGUGGUAUAUCUGUCCACAAGACACCAUGUUUAGAGAUUGUUGUGGACGUAGUACAACACGCCACAAUGCUGAAGAAGGUUAAAGUGUGGUACAAGGAAGCUCCAAGCAGCCCAGGUCCUUCCACUUCUAUACCAGAACCGAUCCCUGGUGAUAGGAAUUUGGUUCGCACUGGUCUGGAAUCCACUCUGAAGAAGCGUUCUCUCAAUUCGGAUCCUUGUAUGGAUCUCGACUCUGUGUCCGUUGAUUUCAAUGGUGUCCCCAAUACCUUUCUGGAUUUUCUCAAGACCAGUGGCACCAUAAGUUCCAUCAAACUACGUCAAGGAUUGGGAAGCCUGCCUAAACCUGCUGUGUUAAAACAGGUGAGUAAUCUCAAGAAGCUGCACCUCUUCUCAACUGGUCGCAAGAGCGACGAAUUAUCGCAGCUGCAGCACUUGCAUUGCCUACAAUAUCUUAAGCUCGAAGAGGAGGUUGAUGGAUUAUGGAAUCAUGUCUUCCAUGUGAAAGCUGGUGGGUUCGAAAGCCUCAUCUGGCUGUGCUUUGAGGCGUCAAAGCUCCCGCCUAUACUGAUCGACCAAGGAGCCAUGACCCUUCUGGGUUCUCUUCAGCUGCUUUCGCCAGCACUUCGUGGAGUCUCGGGCAUAAGACAUCUGUCAAACCUCAGAGAGGUGAUACUCCACCGUUAUGCUACCGAUGAUACAGUGAAAGGAUGGAAAAAAUUCGUAGAGGGACACAUCAACAGGCCAUAUGUGGAUAAGAAACAGGCAUAG
rnacentral:rRNA from 1 species